rnacentral:tRNA from 1 species
GCCUAGUUAGCUUAGUUGGUAGUGCGUCUGCCUUGUAAGCGCUAGGCCGUGGGUUCGAUUCUCGCCCGGGGCG